CUCAAAAGAAUUUGGACCUCACUCUUUAGAUAGUGGAGAAACUUCAGAGAUUUCAAAGCAAGUCAUUUCUCUCAGCAAUGGUUGAGAUGUAUAAGGAGCUGCUGAGGCGAAGAUGAAGAAGGCCUGUGAGGAGUCAUGAGAGCCACUGGCCCCAUCUCUCAGCAGUAGAGCUCACCAUAAAUGAGGACCUCCUCGUCCAUGCAGCCCGCUCACAGUGCACUGGCAACAGUGUCAGAGAUUUUAUCUCAUGAAUUCUUCGCCCAAGUCACCACCUCCUGCAGAGAUCAAACUUGGGACCUUGCACUUGCGAGGCAGGCGCCAGAACCACUGAGCUAAAUCCCUGGCCCAUCAACACUUUUACCAGGCAUGGUGGCACACAUCUGCAAUACUAGCUACUUGGGAGGCUGAAGCAGGAGGAUGACAAGUCCAAAGCUACUCAGCAACUCAGCUGGACAACUCAGCAAGACCCUGAAUGUAUGGGUGUGGGUGGAGGCUAGGGGUGUAAGCUCUCUGCGGUAGAACUGGGCUUGAUCCCCAGUACAAACAACAAAA